rnacentral:rRNA from 1 species
GACGUAGGGGGCCAGCGUUGUUCGGAAUUACUGGGUGUAAAGGGUUCGUAGGCGGUGUGGCAAGUCAGGAGUGAAAUCUCUGGGCUCAACCCCGAGCGGUCGUGAGAAACUGGCAGGCUAGAGUGCGGGAGAGGAGAGUGGAAUUCCUGGUGUAGCGGUGAAAUGCGCAGAUAUCAGGAAGAACACCCGUGGCGAAGGCGGCUCUCUGGAACGCAACUGACGCUGAGACGCGAAAGCGUGGGGAGCAAACAGG